rnacentral:rRNA from 1 species
AUUGAACGCUGGCGGCAUGCCUUACACAUGCAAGUCGAACGGCAGCGCGGACUUCGGUCUGGCGGCGAGUGGCGAACGGGUGAGUAAUACAUCGGAACGUACCCUGUUGUGGGGGAUAACUAGUCGAAAGAUUAGCUAAUACCGCAUACGACCUGAGGGUGAAAGUGGGGGACCGCAAGGCCUCACGCAGCAGGAGCGGCCGAUGUCUGAUUAGCUAGUUGGUGGGGUAAAGGCCCACCAAGGCGACGAUCAGUAGCUGGUCUGAGAGGACGAUCAGCCACACUGGGACUGAGACACGGCCCAGACUCCUACGGGAGGCAGCAGUGGGGAAUUUUGGACAAUGGGGGCAACCCUGAUCCAGCAAUGCCGCGUGUGUGAAGAAGGCCUUCGGGUUGUAAAGCACUUUAGUUGGGGAAGAGAUUACAGAGUUUAAGAGAUACUGUAUGAGACAUGAACCAAAGAAUAAGCACCGGCUAACUCCGUGCCAGCAGCCGCGGUAA